CCUCUUAAACCACCACUAGCACCAUCCCCUAGACCACCUCUGCCACCCAAACCACCACCUCCUAUACCGCCAUCAAGCCUAUCGCCUUUACCAAACCCUUGUUGAAACCCCUUCUUGUAUAUCCCAUGCCCUAAACCUCCUCCAAGAUGGUCAAGCAAGUGUUUAUCAUCUUUAACUCCAUUAACAUCUGUAACAACAACUCCACCACAUAUGACUAAUACAAGAAACAAACCAACCACAACACUCAUUGUACGUUAAACAAAAGAAAACCCACAAAGCAAGAGGAGCUCUCUAACAAAGAAAACCCUAGCUAGCAAUACUAAGUGCAGUGCAGUGCAGUGCCAUGAAGUUGUGAAGUAUAUCUAUAACCUAUAUAAAAAGCAUGUAAUAGUGGUAUAACGCUGCUGUUUGCAGUGGUGCAACGCUGUUGCUUGCUUCAUUUCUAACGUUUUGCAACAGACAAAUUGAACCGCUUGACCUCUGUUUGCGGGCUCAAUGGUUUCUCUAAGAAUUCUAAAUGUGCUACAAACAAAAGCGGUGGAGACUUUAGCUUUUACAUGUGGUUAUUGCCUCUUCUCUGCCUUCUACCUUGUCUGAAAGAAAUUGCAUAGAUAUGUGUAUGUAUUCCACGUGAUUGUAAGAGAAGAGGGUGUAGGAGGGCUCACCACAUGGGUUCUAAUUCUAAAUCAGUUGUUGAUUUCAUAGAAGGUUCAUCAGGGUUCAUUUUUCUUGGAUUUCACUUGGAUGGAUUGGAGCUAAGAAAUUCAGAGGUGGAGCAAUCAGCACCUAAACAUGCACAUAAGCAACCUUUUGUCAUUGGAAGGCUUUGCUAUCUUAAUGGGCACUUUACUGAUAUAGAAUAUGCAACACAUCCUUGAUAUACUUGGCAUUCUCUAGAUGUUACCUUUUAUUGGAUCCGUAGUCUCAGCAGUGAACAUCCUCCAUGCCUCACAAUUUUUUAUCCACUUGUGUUUUUUAAACUUCCACGCAACAAUUUGGCUUAGAAAUGUAGUUUCUUUUUGCUUGUUUAGUUAAUAUAGUUUUCAUGUGAAGAAUGAAAAUGAUAUAAACUGAAAGAUCAAUGUACACCUUAUUUUUCUUUUGAUGAGCUUUACUCAUUUUUUAUUUGAAUUCAUUAAUUAUUGAGCUUAAAGUCCUCAAGUUGCUAACAGUUGGUGGAAAAAGACUAUAACUUAUGAUUUGGGACACAAGUAAUUAACAUAAAUGACUUGUUAUUUGGAACUCUUUUGUUUAUUCAAUGUGGAAAAUUUCUUGGAUCCCAAUAGUAUUUCCCCCUCAUACAUGUAACAGAUUUUUUAGUUUUUUCUUGGAUUUUUUUGUUAUAAAUCUCCGACUCAAGGCAGGAAUGUUUCUUUUUUUAAUAUUAAUUUUCAUUUUCACAGUAACCUGGCUUGUUUAGCCUUUUUAAGCUAUUUUUGGGCUUGAAACGAAAAAAGCUUAUAAAUGGUGGUUUUUCAACUUUCUUACACAAUACUUCAAUGAAUUUUUGAAUUUCACAAAUUGUCCUUGAGCAAUAUAAUAAAAAAUGCGGUUAGGUAAUCUAAUGUUCCAUGAACGAUUUUUUGUGCAGUUUUUUACACCUCGUGAAAUGGCUAAAAUAGUUGCUAAAAUAGCUACU